rfam:TPA: Bos taurus chromosome 3, whole genome shotgun sequence.
CCCUGGCAGCUCAGCUGGUAAAGAAUUUGCCUGCAACGCAAGAGACCCUGGUUUGAUUCCUGGGUCAGGAA